rnacentral:rRNA from 1 species
UGGUGGAGUGAUUUGUCUGGUUAAUUCCGAUAACGAACGAGACUCUAGCCUGCUAAAUAGUCUGUGAAUCGUCUGUUCGCAGUACUUCUUAGAGGGAUAAGCAGCGUUUAGCUGCAUGAGAUUGAGCAAUAACA